AUUAUACAAAUAAAACUUUUUGAUCUGUUGAACUUCAUCAGGAGCACAGGGUGUUUCAGAGAAGACAAAAUGAAGUGAGUAUAUUUUAGUUCCCUUGGCUUCACAAUGGGCCUCCUAAAAGUUUAUGUGCGCAGUCAGUAAUCCACUCUACCUAGCUAUCUACGUAGCCCUUUACUUUUCAUCAUAUUCCAAAAAAUAUUUUAAAACCUUGACUUUCAAAAAGCAUAGCCUAACAAUGUUUACUUUUAUUCUAAACUAUUAUUAUUUAAUUUUAACACCGGCGUAUUUCUUAGAUAAACUGCAGCUGUAGCAAAAAUAGGCGUAUACUCUUACUUAUACAGCUGUUUUGAAAGUAAAUAUACGAAAACACAAUAAUAACGAAGGUUUAACAACGUAAAAGUGGUUCAAAUUCGAAUGUUCGUGACAUUUAGAAUAUUGACAUUGUACGCGUAUGAGAAAACACUUGAGUAAACAACUUCUUACGCCUCUUCAGCGCUGGUUUGGUAACUUCAGUAGCUUAAAGGUUGCUAUCAUAAAAAUGUCAGAAUUGUGUCAAAUUUGUCAGUGUCAAAAGAUAUAGCGAAUCUAUAGGUAUUUCCGUUACAUAAAUUUAUAUGUUAUGUCUAGUAUAUUCAUAGUAAGUUUAUCUACUUUUUCAGUGUUCCGAUAAUUUUUCCACUUUGCAGCCGUCAAGACAUUGAGAAAACGAACCUUAAUCUCUUAUAAACUUUGCUUUCGAUUGUAGGCAAAAAAAACAGCUGAUUUAACUGACAUUUGUGUCCGAAGAAUGUUCAGAAAUAGACUUUAUCUAAAAGUGGAACGCAUUCGCUAUCUAAUUCCCAGCUUUCUCAAGCUAUGAGCACUUUCCAGGAUCGAAUAAAAAGGGUUAUUCAAAACCCCCAAUUCUUAUCGAAAAUCCCGAAAAACAUCUUUUUAUCUAAGUGGAGAACAAUUAAAAGUCUUGUCACUAGACUUUUCUAAAAACGUUUGUCAAAAUAUAUUGGAAACAUAAAAAAGAUCUUGAUCUUGAAAAAUUUCCAGCUGGGACAGUUUCAGACAAUUGUAAAAAAAUUUCUUAGCAGUUGGGUUAAGUAAAUAUCUAAAGUAAAAAUAUGCACAUACACAAAUAUAUAAAAAGUAUAGACUCUAAAUGAAAAAUAAAAUUUUUGUCUGAGUUUUUGAAAAACAUAAUAAAAAUAUUUCACUUUCUACCUUCAUUCAUGAAACAAGUGGAAAGCUUCUAUUAGUACUAACGUGUAUACUAAGCUGGUACUUAGAAAAGUUCUUGAAGCGUACAAUCACAAAAUAAAUAAUUGAAAUAAAGAAUGGACUGAUUUGAGUGAGCUUUAUGUGUAUAUAAUAUAAAUAAAAAAACAAAGUGAUCGAUUAGGCAUACAAAUAUACAUAACCAACAGGCUGUGCAUUUUUCAAUUUGUUGAGUGCAAAUAUUUGGAAAGAGUUUUUAAGAAAGUUCGCUCGAACUGCAAACUAAAUUCGUUGCAAUGGCGGUAAAAUUUGUGCUCUUAAUUUUUCUGGCAAUACUGGCGUAUUUGGUAGCGCCCAUACAUGCGUAUGUUUUGCCAGAUCCUUGGCUGGAUAUCGACCCCCAGCUACUCGGAGCGUUUUCUACGAAAUAUGACAAAAGACACCAUCAUGUAGUGAAGAAAGAACUGAAGCCAGCUAACUACGAAUAUGUGGAAUCACUGCACGACUGGGUGCCUGUGUGAAGAGAUGUUGCAGCGUACUCAGUGGCGAAUAUAUUAUACUUUAGUUAUAAGAAUAUGUAUUAGAAUAUGACAAAUUAAUUUAAGUAAAUAGAAAAUAUUUAGUCACAAAGCUAUGAAAAAAUUGGUCUGAAAUGUGGAUAUUAAUAAAAUUGGGCGAUGAAGUACCAUCAAGGAUCAGUGCUUAUCGGAGGUAUAGCGAA